AAGCAGGAGAACGAGGGACAGACAACAGCAGCGCUGUAUCAAAGGCCUGGCAGAAGUCUGCAUAUAAAAGAUCUCACGGUUAGGUUUUUAUGGUUUGCGCGUGUGGAAUAGUUUAUAAUAUAUAUAUGAGCAGGAUAGGCAUGUAAAUAAAUAACACAAUCUCAAUUUUAUAUUUCUGAAUUGAAAUGACUUACAAUUAAUGUAGCCUAUUUUUUUUAAACAAGGUGAUGUUCGAUGUUUUGCAGCCUCCCUCUCACAGAGUCAUCAGGAGUCAGUGUUGUGGGCAGGGACCGUUCAGACUCUAAUGCACAAAGCCAGCACGUUUCUAUUCGUCUGCAGUAGCCGAGUGGUGCUGAACACCACAUCCAGCUUCAUCGGCAGCAGUAACAGAUCGGGGAGGAUGUUUUCUUUUUCUUUUUUCUUUUCUUUUCUUAACAAUUUUUGGAGCACGGACCGACUGCUCAGAACGACGAUUUACUGGCGGCCGGUGACUUGGGAAUAGUCAAGGGGCUGGAAUGAACAGAGGUGCUGUCCAAGGUGCUGAAAGACCCGCCGUUGUCCCUUUUCCAGGCGAGACGAGACAUAUGAACUGACGUGAAUGCCGAGCAGCACAGCACCGCACACCAGUUCGCCUUUCUACACAUAACCCCCAUCAAGAGUAAAUGGGACCGCACGUCGACCGAGCGUUAGAAAGAUGGAGAGAUUUGUCCUGCUCGUCAUCAGCUGUCUCUGCGUCUCUCGAGUCACAGCGGAUAGCUUGUCGCCUCCCGUCAAUGUGACCAUCAAAGCAGUAAAAGCAAGCUCUGCUGUGGUGACAUGGGACAUCCCCGAUGGAGACCCCGUCAUUGGCUUUGCCAUCACACAGCAGAAAAAAGAUGUCCGCAUGCUACGAUUCAUCCAGGAAGUCAACACUACCACACGUUCCUGUGCAUUAUGGGACUUGGAGGAGGAGACAGACUACAUUGUGCAUGUCCAAUCCAUCAGCAUGUCUGGAACGAGUCCAUUGAGCGAAGCCCUGCGCUUCCGAACACCAAAGGAGGCAGAGACUCAGGCCUCGAAAAGUAAAGAUGAAGUGAUGAUGGAGGAAGUGGGCCAGUCCACCCAGCUGAGGGCAGGGGAGCUCAUCAUCAUUGUGGUGGUACUUAUUAUGUGGGCAGGUGUGAUUGCUCUCUUCUGUCGCCAGUACGACAUUAUCAAAGACAACGAGCCCAACAACAACAAGGACAAAGCCAAAAACUCCUCUGAGUGCAGCACUCCUGAACAUCCAACAGGAGGGCUGUUGCGCAGUAAGAUCCCCAAGAACAACAACAACAAUAGGAUGCCAUCUGUGAACAUCAUUGAGGUGUAACUAAAGGACAUCUUCUCUUUAUCCAAAAGACUUUGUGUUCUCAAAAACAAGUUGGCCACUAUAUAGACCAUCUGCUUGACAGAUGGGGCUGGGACUCCACAGCAGAGCUUGUUUUCCUUUGGUCUGGUGCGGAGGUGAAGCUGCAGAACUCGGGGUGUUCUAACAAAGCCUGGCCGGUGCUGGUCUGAGAGCAAAGUUAUCAGUGGAUGGCGACGAGGGAGGGUACUCUGGAGGGUAAAAGAAGUGCCAUAAAGGAGUGCAUUCAUCUAUUAAAUGAACUUUUAAGGGGCAGGACUACCUAUGGAAAAUCACUGAAGAGACAAUGAUUAUAUCAGCAAUAACAGCCCUGGAGAAGCACAGAAGAAGGACCCAAACUCUGUGUAGCCACUUUGUCAAAAUCUUCCACCUCCUAGCAUGCAGUGAGUGUUCUGACAGAUGACCAAACUGCAUACCAACUAUGAUGGAAUUCUGAGAUUCAUUUGCAGGAAAGGUGUUCAGCGGUGUUGUGAAAAUGUAUGUUUCUCAUAGAGAGCAUUGGGAAGAGAAAAAGUUGUGCCAAACCUUCAACCCUGACACACCUUGACGGCAUCCUGAAUUGAAGGGCUUCUAUCAAGACUUGUAUAGACUAACAAUCAAAGUAAACAUGUGCUUUGAAAGUCCAUGUUGAAGAGGUUAAAAGCAAAGAUAAAGUGUUAGCUGUCCCAUAAAGUAUUGUUCACUGCAUAUUGUAAAGGAACUUGCUUUAUAAAAGCAGAUGGUGUAUUAGAGGGCUCAUUCAUACUCAGAAAUGCUGCCUUAAAAAUAAUUUUAAUAAUUGAAUGGAUAAGAUGACGAGCCCAAUAUCUCAAAUUUAUGUCACAUUUAUUAGCUUCUAUGAGUGCAAAGUUAAAGCACAUUUUAAAGAUUGACACCAUGUAAAACCAAGAUAAAGUGAAUCUGAAAACAAGGAGGUAUUGCUGGUAUCUGAUGUGUAAAUACAUUCAAUAUUUCAUUCUUGGUGGAUGGUGUCAGUUUGGUAACUUUCGUGACCUCAGACAAGACUAAUUUGGAAAAUGUUUGAACUCCAUAUGUAAACGGUCCACUGCUACUGGAAAAUGUCGUUGUUUUUUGUGUGUUAAUACACCUAGUCCUGUUAUUAAUGAGCUUGUUCAUAGCACUCCUUUACUGGUAUGUAUUUCUCUUGAAUAAUGUCAUUGUACUUUUUGUGCUAAAGGAAAGGACUCUCUUUGAUGAGGACACUGAUGAAUAGUGCGGGAUAUUUAAAAGGUUGAUCAAGCGUGACAAUUUUAAGGCCAUUUUGCUUCUCAAUAUCUGUCCUGACAGAAUAAUAAGCUCAUCCGCUAUUCUUGUGCUGCACAGAAGCAAUCUCAGCGUGGGAAUGGACUGGCAAGUCAUUUAGUGGUCUCAGAAAAAUUCAUGUGUGGUGGCAAAGAGAGGCAGCAAAGGGGGACAAAUUAGGCCUAUAGUUGAGAGCGGUGAAUAGAAAGACGACUUGUGCAAUGGCAGGCCACCCCCCUACCUCCUUUCCAAAUUUCUUUACAGCCACUCUUAAUAAUGAAAGUUAAAUAUAUAUAUAUAGAAAAGAUCCAGAUUGCACCCCUUUCAGUAAGCACUGAUUCAUGUCAAAGGCAAGAGUUGGUUGCAAGUAAAGUCACAGAAUGGAGGAAAGGAAAGGAGAAAGAAAGAGACAGGUGUUUAGUUGUUGCCAGGACAACCGUGAUGAGGCUUGGAAACUGCACCAGUUAUCAGCAUGGUUGAAUCAUUUUUCACCAGUAACACUACACAUUCCAACUCACACAAGCUAGCUCUUCAAUUGAUCCCCUCAGUAAAACACAAUAAUGAUUGAGUCCCUGGCUGAUUUCAGGGCAACGCCUUAGUUCGUUAACAGUAGAUUUCUUAAACCAUGAUCCCUGUAGCUAUUUUUUUAAUUUCUAUUAUUUACUUGAUGAAACUUCAGCUAAAAGAAAAACAGGUUUUUAUUGAAGUUGUGCGAGGUUCCAAGAUGGUAAAACCCUCAGUGUUUUCACUGUAAAUACUGCAGUCCUAUUAUUGAUCAAAUAAAAUAAAUGCAGGGCUGUUGUGGACAACCACUUUGGCCGUGGAAUAGUUUGACAUCUAUGGAAAUAGAUUACACAAUAGACACACAAAAAAGGUUACACUCCGUAGCAUGUACCAUACAUUUGUAGCUAAAGAUAGAAGCUUUUCAGCCAAAUUACCAGAAAAGCUGGAGACAGGACUAGACCAGCUGUUCACCACUUCUUAUUCUACUCUGACCAGCUACAGGGUCCAGCAACACAGAAUAGGCUACAAAUGAGAGGAAUAUUGAUUGAUUGACUUAUUCAUUCAACGCUUGGUAAAAAAGAGAAUUUUCCUCAAUGUCAAACUAUUCCCUUAAGGGCCUGCAUAUGAGCAGUGUUUGAGUGAGCUCUCCUACACAUAAAUGAUAUUUCAGCAUUGAUGGUAAACUACUGUGA